AUACGGAGGGUGCAAGCGUUAAUCGGAAUUACUGGGCGUAAAGCGUACGUAGGCGGUGAGUUAAGUUAGAUGUGAAAGCCCCGGGCUCAACCUGGGAACUGCAUUUAAAACUGGCUCACUAGAGUUGAGUAGAGGGGAGUGGAAUUUCAGGUGUAGCGGUGAAAUGCGUAGAGAUCUGAAGGAACACCAGUGGCGAAGGCGACUCCCUGGACUCGAACUGACGCUGAGGUACGAAAGCGUGGGUAGCAUACGGGAUUAGAAACCCUUGUAGUCC
rnacentral:rRNA from 1 species